CUGUGAUGUUCUACAAGGAAAGAAGGUCUGUAAAUUCUGUAUCUUUAUCUCGAUUAUAGUUUUUUUAAACCUAAUCUCAUUUUUUAUUUACUCCUCGUUUCUGUGGACAACACAAGAGUUCAAUACAUUUGUGCUGCUUCUCUUGUUAGUAAAUUAAUUCUGGUUGUUUAUAGAAAUGAGCAUUUGCUAAAGUCAAACUCAUACUAUCAAGGGCAAAAAUUAUCAAAUCAAAAUUCACCUAUUUAGCAAUUAUCCAAAUCAGUUUGCUGCCCAUAGUUCUUAUUAAAUUUAACGAGUAGUGUACUGGUUAUAUAGACUAUAUUUCCGAGACUAGCUAUUCAAAUAUGUUUAAGUCUUUUUUUUCCCCAAAUCAAUUCAUCAUUUUUUUUGUGUAUUCUAUUGUUUAGUUAGUUCUUAUUAAAAAUCAAAUGAUUUUUUUUUUUCCGGAAAUGAUGAGUUCUUAUCAACUCUCUAAGCUUAUAUCCAAUUGCAGAAAUUAAGCUUGCUUGAAGAAAUCAGGUAUAAGAAGUAACAACUUUAGAAAAGUACUGCAUAGUUAUACAUAUGGAACAAUCAUGUAAUUAUUACGUGAACUAUACAUACGGAAUAUUCUAUUAUCAGGUUUCUGCAUUCUCUUUGCCCUCUUUGUUCACCUUCGUUCUAAAAAAUAUGUAUUAUUUCUUAUUGAAUGGUGUUAGCUAGUAUCUGAAAGAAUCUCAUCUUAGCUCUUUGAGAAAUUUUACAUUUUUUGGUUUGCCAAAGAGGAUAAUGAAAUUGGUAGAGGCUGUUUGCAGAUCUUUCUUAUGGUCUGGUACUGCAGAGAUUACAAAAAAAAAAAGCAAAACCUGCCUCCCAAAGGCAGGAGGGCAAAAUGUGAUGAAUAUUUGUCUUUGGAACAGAGCUGCAGUAAUCAAACAACUUUGGGCAAUUGCUGACAAGAAGGACCGCACCGCCUCUAGAUUAGGUGGGUGCAUAGCUAUUAUUUGAAGAAUGAAUCAGUGGACUCUUGCAACAUCCCUGUAAUGCUACUUGGGUUAUAAGAAAGAUAAUGAGACUAGAAAGUUCAUCCUCCAAUCAACUUCUCUUCAGGGAGCCUUUCAUGCUAGGUUGGCAUCUAAGUUACGCGGACUCUUCACUUCUACUGCCUCACCCGUGUUGGAUUCUCCAAAAAUGCACUACUUUUGGAGUGUCUGACACGCACACGUCGAUAUUUUAGAAGAGUCCGAGCAACAUAGGUUGGCAUCUGAUGUCAAGGGGAAUAAAUUGUCAAUCAAGAGCAUGUAUGUCACCCUGCUUCCAAUUGAUCUCAAAUUCCCAUGGAAAUCUCUCACACUACAACCAAGCAUUCAUCCAAGACAUAAAUUUACUUUGUGGUUAGCGGUGCAAAGAAGGCUAGCAACAUGCUUAGAUUUGGUAUUCAUGUGCCCCUGAAUUGUGUCUUUUGCAACUCUCUAGUUGAAUCAUUUGACCACCUGUUCUUCUCUUGUUCCAUCACCAAAGCAAUAUGGCAGAAAUUACUACUGUGUUUGGGCCUUCAAAGAAGUAUUGGUGACUGGCAAGAAAGGAAACUGAUAGAGAUGAGAUCAUCUGCUGUGUAUUUGCUAUUGUGGUUGCAUCUAUCUGGAAAGAGAGGAAUGGCAUCAGGUUUCAAAGAAGUCUUUAUCAGUGUGACAGGCUGCGCAGCGAGAUUGCAAUACAUAUCCACAUACACGGCAGAAUACAUAUCCAAUCGUCAGCAAAAGUUUGAAGAAGUUGGAUCUCUAUGAUUGCAAGCAACUCAGAAGAACUCCAAACUUCAACGGUUCACGAAGUCUAGAGACUUUGUUGUUCAAGGGCGACACAGGUCCACAAGUCAAUAGGAAUUUGGACAGAGUAAUUGAUUUAUGGAUCUUCCGAGCAACAUAUGCCAGCUAAAAUCCGUUGAUUCCUUGGACAUUAGGAGCUACUCAUCUAGACAAACGCUGCUAGUAGACCUGGGAGAGGUGUGAAAUCUACAAUAUCUUUUUUGCACUUGAUGGCCUGGAUCUAUUGAAAUGCUAAGAGAUCUUGAAGUUUUAGAGGAGGAAGGUCAUUAUUUCCAUAGUAAUAAUCUUGCAUCUUGGCCUAAUGAAUUGCAGGAGUUAAAUAUUUAUUCCAAUGCGAUGGGAUUCCAGAUUGGCGCAACAAUCAAGUAACGACUUCAUCUAUCUGCUUCACUAUGGAGACACAUAUGGAGUAUGAAUUUUUUGAAAUGAUUUGUCUCGUGUGUUCGUAAGUUUGUCAACAUAUGUUUUCUAGUGGUGUGCAAGGCUUCUGCUGUUGUACUAUUGCCGAAAAAGAGACAAUGGUGUACUAUGCCUGCCGCACAAGUAGAACUUGUGUGUUCUCUACUGAUGUUACUUACAAGAACCUUUUGAUGGCCAGAUGAAUUCGCUAUGUUGUGCCGUAACUCAACACAAGGAAUUGGGAUCCCCUGUUCAUUUUUAAGAGUCAAUUCUGCAGAUGACUUGUCAUGUUAUUUAUCUUAUGAUACAAAGUUCGUAUCUGAAGCUUUUUAUAUUUAUUCUCUUUAGCGUCUUAAAGGAGAAAUGAGUGAUUUUCUGUUGAACUGGGGAUUUCUUGAGUAUUUUCCUAUUGUUUAAGGGCUGUGGCUAUUAUGAGUUAUGACUGAGGUGGGGAUAGGGCUAUACAAGUUUAAACUUGUUUUUUGGCUACUGUUCAUUUGGCUAAAGCGUAGACCAUGCAACUCUGAUUUUUAGUUGUAGUCUUAAUCACUCUUUGGAGUUGAGGGAAGUCGGUGAUCAUAAGCUUGAUAUUUUACUAAUAUUUCUUCAUUCUUGUUCUUGUAUUUCUUUGUGCAACUUCUUAAUCAACCAAGGAAAUGACUCAUCGUAUAUGUAAUUUGAUUGUUGGCUAUGGCU